rnacentral:rRNA from 1 species
UGUGUUGACGGUACUAGAAGAAGAAGCACCGGCUAACUCCGUGCCAGCAGCCGCGAUAAUACGGAGGGUGCAAGCGUUGUUCGGAUUGACUGGGCGUAAAGUGCACGCAGGCGGGUUUUUAAGUUGGAUGUGAAAUCCCCGGGCUCAACCCGGGAACUGCAUCCAAAACUGGAAAUCUUGAAUGUUUGAGAGGUUGGUGGAAUUUGUGGUGUAGGAGUGAAAUCCGUAGAUAUCACAAGGAAUACCGGCGGCGAAGGCGGCCAACUGGCAAAACAUUGACGCUCAUGUGCGAAAGCGUGGGGAGCAAACAGGAUUAGAUACCCUGGUAGUCCACGCCGUAAACGAUGGAUACUAGGCGUCCGGGAAGUUAACCUCCUGGGUGCUACAGCUAACGCGUUAAGUAUCCCGCCUGGGGAGUACGGUCGCAAGGCUAAAACUCAAAGGAAUUGACGGGGCCCGCACAAGCGGUAGGAGUAUGUGGUUUAAUUCGAAGCAACGCGCAGAACCUUACCUACCCUUAACACUUUCACGACCGCCUCAGACGAUGUA